rnacentral:rRNA from 1 species
UACGGAGGGAGCUAGCGUUGUUCGGAAUUACUGGGCGUAAAGCGCACGUAGGCGGCUUUGUAAGUUAGAGGUGAAAGCCCAGGGCUCAACCCUGGAAUUGCCUUUAAGACUGCAUCGCUUGAACAUCGGAGAGGUAAGUGGAAUUCCGAGUGUAGAGGUGAAAUUCGUAGAUAUUCGGAAGAACACCAGUGGCGAAGGCGACUUACUGGACGAUUGUUGACGCUGAGGUGCGAAAGCGUGGGGAUCAAACAGG